rnacentral:rRNA from 1 species
UUAGUCNUNGGGUAGNUAGUCUAUUCGGUGAUGCAGCUAACNCAUUAAACAUUCNNNNUGGGGAGUACGGUCNCAAGAUUAAAACUCAAAGGAAUAGACGGGGACCCGCACAAGUGGUGGAGCAUGUGGUUUAAUUCGAAGAUACGCGAAGANCCUUACCUAGCCUUGACAUAUUUUAGANCACUUNAGAGAUAGAGUGGUGCCUUCGGGAGCUAAUAUACAGGUGCUGCACGGCUGUCGUCAGCUCGUGUCGUGAGAUGUUGGGUUAAGUCCCGCAACGAGCGCAACCCUCGUCACUAGUUACUAACGGUUCGGCCGAGGACUCUAGUGAGACUGCCUUCGUAAGGAGGAGGAAGGUGAGGACGACGUCAAGUCAUCAUGGCCCUUACGGCUAGGGCAACACACGUGCUACAAUGGCCAGGACAAUGAGAGGCGAUACCGCGAGGUGGAGCAAAUCUAUAAACCUGGUCUCAGUUCGGAUUGUAGUCUGCAACUCGACUACAUGAAGCUGGAAUCACUAGUAAUCGUAGAUCAGCUAUGCUACGGUGAAUACGUUCCCGGGUCUUGUACUCACCGCCCGUCACACCAUGGGAGUUGAUUUCACCCGAAGCGGGGAAGCUAAACUGGCUACCCUCCACGGUGGAAUUAGCGACUGGGGUG